UACCCUGUAACGUCUUCCUUAUCAUAGUGGAAUGGUUUUAUUCUCUGAAGGAUGAGGAACACAAUGUCCUGUGGGCUUAGUAUUGAAUAUUUUAAGUAGGAUAGAGCCAGAGGAGGAGUAACGUAAGAUCUCCAUGUUAGCCCCUGCGUUGAAUUUCUUUGUGUAAGUCUGCAUCCUCUGCCUCAAAUUCCUCUUGCUUUUGUAUAUGUGUGGGGAGAACCUAAAAAUAGUGCUUGAAAGAGUUGCCAAGAUCUUAGCUUUGUGUUGGGGAAACCAUCCACUAAUCUCACUGCCAGAAACCAGAGUCAAAGAAGGUAUUCUGAAGCGAAGUUUUUUCUUUUUAGUGAAGAAGAUCAGCCCUGAGCUAACAUCCAUGCCAAUCCUCCUCUUUUUGCUGAGGAAGACUGGCUCUGGGCUAACAUCUGUGACCAUCUUCCUCCACUUUAUAUGGGACACCGCCACCGCAUGGCCUGACAGGCGGUGCAUCUGUGCACGUCGGGGAUCUGAACCCCGGGCUGCCAGCAGCGAAGCGCGGGCACUUAACCGCUACGCCACGGGGCCGGCCCCCUGAAGCGAAGUUUCAGAAGAAGAACAAACAUUUUCAGGCUGAUGUCUGGCAAGGCGUCAGGCCUUUGACUUGGUUACUGAGGAGAUGAGAACCAUGACAAAUAAAAGAAGGCAACAGGGGAGGCUUUUGUGGAACUUUGAUGACAGUGAUCAACUUAACUCUGAGCAUAUAUCCAAAAGAAGAAGUUGUAACAUUUUACUCCCGCACCUCCAUGGCUCAUCUUGUUCAUCCCCUGGACACAUACACCUUAUUUUGGAGACCGCUGCUCUGAGUACCGCAAAGCAAACCACAAGUUAUUAAGUGGGAGGCAGGUGACAUGAUCAGGAUUUAUUGUUCUCCAGGGACCCCAGAGAUUUUGAAGGAAGAUAAUAUAAAGAUGGAUAAACCAUAUUCUCUAUCCCAUCUGUACUUGAAGAAGUCAAUAUAUUUUUGAUGUAAAAAAUUGGUUGUAGCUUGGUGAUGAAGACACUAUGGCUUGCAAAGGAAGACUCCCUGAAAACUCACAGAAUGAGUUUUGACUUUUGGCAUACUGGUAAAGGAAGCAGCAAUGUAAAGAAGAAGAGAGGCAAGAGGGAUCUUUCCCUGCUCAGAGCCGAUGCUAUGGUUCUUGAUCAUCUGAUUGAGACUGUUAACCUACACACCUUCACUGUUGGAACCGAGGCUUCAAGGAUGUACCAGAAACUAUAUGAUAUUAAUUAUCAUAUAGUGUGAGCUCAGUGAACCUGAAACCUCAGUUGAGAUGAUGGAGUCAUAAAAUGGUGGAAUCUUCAUCAGUGUGAAUCCUUGGAUGACAAAAAUGAGCUGAGUUCUCCCUUGUCCCCCAUUCAACACGGUCUGAUGUAGAUAUAGUUGGGCAGGUAGCAUAAGGCAGAAACAAGGCUUUAUCUUUUUUUGUCACUGAUUUUUUUUGUUACCACAUCAUAACAUUAGCCUAUUCUGACUCUUUCAAGUUGUAAAUUGGAUGAAAAUAAUUUUAUACUUCAUUAAAGUUGUAAGAAAAACACUUUGUAAAUUGAAAUGUUUCAUAUUUUAUUAUGAGCCUCCAAUAAGCUUUGUGAAAAGCUUAAUCCAAACACUUGAGUAAUAUUUAGCUCAACUUUCACAUAUUGUUUUCAUAGAGUGAAAAGUAAUACUGCUUUUGAUACAGCUGCAAAAUAAAUUAUUAAAGAAACAUUUUUAGAAUUGUGUUACAAUAGAGAUAAUGGAAAAUCUCUGGUGGUGUGAAUACUUGUUGGGUAUGUUUUUAUUCAUACGCACUUUUCCCAGAUAAGAACCAGGCUCAACCAUUUCCUAAAUUCAUUAUCAUAUUUAUUUACCACCAGUGAUUUUCAAGUCAGUUAUUCAUUUUUUUUAUACAAAAUAGGUUUUAGCAUGUGUAAACAGACGUAUUUGAACCUUCUCUAGCUUUAAUUUCAGAUUUUUCAAUGUUUUUCCCAAACCCCAAGGAAAAUAUAUUAUAGAGACUAAAAAAUUUAAGGAAACUGUCUAAAAGCCUUUAGCAUGCCAACACCACAAGACACAGUAGCUAAACCAGCAUGGACUCCAGGGCUGGAUACCUGGGUUUAAAUCCCAGCUCUACUAGUACUGAGCCUUAUGAUCUUGGGCAAGUUAGUCUUUUUCUGCCUCAGUUUUCUCAUCUGAUAAAUGGGAACAGUAAUCCUAAAUCAUAGGGCUUAUGUGAG